CACUAUUAAAGAUUUAUCGGUGAAAGAUGAGCAUGCGUCCCAUUAGCUAGUUGGUAUGGUAACGGCAUACCAAGGCUACGAUGGGUAGGGGUCCUGAGAGGGAGAUCCCCCACACUGGUACUGAGACACGGACCAGACUCCUACGGGAGGCAGCAGUGAGGAAUAUUGGACAAUGGGCGCAAGCCUGAUCCAGCCAUGCCGCGUGCAGGAUGACGGUCCUAUGGAUUGUAAACUGCUUUUAUACGAGAAGAAACACUCCUUCGUGAAGGAGCUUGACGGUAUCGUAAGAAUAAGGAUCGGCUAACUCCGUGCCAGCAGCCGCGGUAAUACGGAGGAUCCAAGCGUUAUCCGGAAUCAUUGGGUUUAAAGGGUCCGUAGGCGGUCAGGUAAGUCAGUGGUGAAAGCCCAUCGCUCAACGGUGGAACGGCCAUUGAUACUGCUUGACUUGAAUUAUUAGGAAGUAACUAGAAUAUGUAGUGUAGCGGUGAAAUGCUUAGAGAUUACAUGGAAUACCAAUUGCGAAGGCAGGUUACUACUAAUAUAU
rnacentral:rRNA from 1 species